CGGACGACAACAAGCUCACCCUGCUCUAAAUCAAUACUGAAAGGCAGGAAUCAUGUCAAUUUCGAUUGCUAGGGCCCGGAUCUGCAUUAGAAAAAAGAUGCAGAAGUGUAGUAUGAGUACCAAAAACUACGGGUACUCGGUAGGCAUCAUCGGCCGACUGAGCUCAAUACAGAAAAGGUAUAAAUGCGAAGGCGUAAUCUGAGUCUUCAGUAAAUAGGAAUGGAAAGGCAACCAACUACCAAGCUACGCAAUGGCUGUAAAGGAAUAAACGUAAGCGAUACAAAAAAAUAAAUAAUGUCGUAAUAAUAGACAAAUCAAACAUAACCUAACUGGGCCCCCAUAAGCCCUCUAGGCACAUAACAUAACCAAACUUGGCCCCCAUAAGCCCACUAGGCACACUGAAGAAGGCAAUUAACUCAUUAGUACCCCCAUAAGUCGGUGGGACACACAAGUAAUGACAAUAAACAUAAAUAAUCUAUAACUGCGUUGAUCCCCAUAAAUCAUAAUAGUCUUUCAGAUGUGCACCGGACUUGAACCGGCUCUAAUGGGUAAUAACGAGAGGCCAUAUAUAUAGAAUUCAUAAUCAGAUGCCGGACUCAAACCGGAACUUAUAGUAAUCACAAUAAUCAUUUGUCGGACUCGAACUGGAACUCAUAGUAACCACAAUAAUCAUUUGCCAGACUCGAACCGAAACUCAUAGUAACCACAAUAAUCAUAUAUCGGACUCGAACCGAAACUCAUAGUAACCAUAAUAAUCAUUUUUCGGACUCGAACCGGAACUCAUAGUAACCAUAAUAAUCAUUUCCCGGACUCAAAUCGGAACUCAUAGUAACCAUACCCACCAAAAAUAUUAAAAUUCAUACCAUAUCAUAACAAUAUCAAUGUCUAAAUAAUCAUCCGUUAAUCUUAAUUCAAAAUAAAUAAAUUUAAAAUUUUGUAAUUUAAUUUCACGUUCUAAAUUAAUAGGUGUUAUAUUAUGUUAAAACAUAAUAUUUCAAUAUUUAUUAAAACAGGGUCCUAAUCCGGAUACAUAAGACAGUUCAUAUAUAUCAAAAAAAUACGCAUCUACAAGGAUUUAUCCAAAACUAACAUAAUAGUUAACAUUUUCUAUAAAUAAGCUCAAUCUAAAGAUAGGUUAAACCUAGCCUACCUAGACGCCAAAGCUAUAAUAUCUUCUCGUGAAGCCUCCAAAUAGUACCCCGCUAGAACUCGAUCUUGAAUUAAUCUUGAUUUAGAUAAUUGACUUCUAUUUGGAGAUCAAAUAAAUUGCCAAAAUAUUUGCUACCAUUUAACCCCUCUCAACGCAUCCACAAGAAUAUAAUUAAAGCUGCUGGCAGAACACCAACUCCAGCGUAACCUUUGAGCAGAAUAGGAAGAACUAUCCGAUUUGAUAAUUGGCUAUAUGACAAAAAGAAAUCAAAUAUUGGAAUUGAAAUCUUUCAGGAAAAGGAAAGUGGUACAGUUUAGUGGCCUAAAUGCCAU
rnacentral:lncRNA from 1 species